GGGUUAAAGUGUGUGGCACCAUGCCUGGGGAAACCAAGAGGUCUUAAGGCUGUGACCAAAGACUGAAGUUCUCCACAGGAUGCCACAUUCACCCCCAGAUUUGUUUUUCUGAGAUGUAAUCAGU
rnacentral:snoRNA from 1 species